rnacentral:tRNA from 1 species
GAGAGAUGGCAGAGUGGUCGAAUGCACCGGUCUUGAAAACCGGCGUACUUAACGGUACCGGGGGUUCGAAUCCCUCUCUCUCC